ACCUUUUUAGCGCAGCCGGCAGCGCGUCAGUCUCAUAAUCUGAAGGUCCUGAGUUCAAUCCUCAAAGAAGGCA
rfam:Alligator mississippiensis ScZkoYb_809, whole genome shotgun sequence.